rnacentral:rRNA from 1 species
UCCACGCCGUAAACGAUGGAUACUAGCUGUCGGGACUUCGGUCUCGGCGGCCAAGCGAAAGUGAUAAGUAUCCCACCUGGGGAGUACGUUCGCAAGAAUGAAACUCAAAGGAAUUGACGGGGGCCCGCACAAGCGGUGGAGCAUGUGGUUUAAUUCGAUGAUACGCGAGGAACCUUACCAGGGCUUAAAUGCGGGCUGCAUGGGACAGAGACGUCCCUUUCUUCGGACCGCCCGCAAGGUGCUGCAUGGUUGUCGUCAGCUCGUGCCGUGAGGUGUCAGGUUAAGUCCUAUAACGAGCGCAACCCCUACCGUUAGUUGCCAGCAUGUAAAGAUGGGGACUCUAACGGGACUGCCGGUGCAAACCGUGAGGAAGGUGGGGACGACGUCAAAUCAUCACGGCCCUUACGUCCUGGGCCACACACGUGCUACAAUGGCCGGUACAGAGGGAAGCCACCCCGCAAGGGGGCGCGGAUCUACAAAGCCGGUCACAGUUCGGAUCGGGGUCUGCAACUCGACCCCGUGAAGCUGGAAUCGCUAGUAAUCGGAUAUCAGCCAUGAUCCGGUGAAUACGUUCCCGGGCCUUGUACACACCGCCCGUCAAGCCAUGGAAGCCGGGAGUGCCUGAAGUCCGUGACCGCAAGGAGCGG